UCAUUUAAUGAUGCCUAUAGUGUUAAUGCAUGGAAUCCCAUCAAAACUCUGUAGUUAAACACACUUGGGAUAGAGUAGUAUUGGGAUGGGUGACUUCUUGAGAAGUCCUAGUGUUUUACAUGCC
rnacentral:rRNA from 1 species